UAUUUGUUAUUGUUAAAGAGCCGCUUAUAGUUCAAUUUCAAAUAAAGCCGAAUUUUAAAUAAAGCCCCAUAACUUGAAUCAUUGAUUUCCAUUCCCAAUCUCGCCGCUUCUUCUCUGUCGCAGUUCGCUUCUCCAUCAUCGCCGGAGGAAGACAUGAAAGUGAAGAUCUUGCGUGGCAUGCGGUUGCGUCAUGGACAUGGGAUGCUCAAGAUGAGACAUGUGGGAUAUGUCGUAUGCCAUUU